GUAUUCUACUUUCCCAAGCACAUAUACAAAAACUGUAACGAUACACAAAACAUUAGCGAGGUCCUGCGCAAGGAUGACGCGCUAAAUCGUGAAGCGUUCCACAUUUUU